rnacentral:sRNA from 1 species
AUGUACCACUCGGACACUGCGAUUCCGAGCGCGUUGCCCGUACCGACCUGUCGACUGCUCGCGACGUUUCGGUAGCC